ACUAUCAUCGUGGCAACAUAUGCCGCUCCUCUUAUCCAUAUGAUGUAGGGAUGCUAGCUGGGCCACUACCCAAACCACUCACCUAAACCUAACAUUCUCGUUCUCCUCCCGUUCCUUUUUCUCCAUUCCUUCUUCGAUCCAUGGAUUCAUCCCAAUUUGUUGCUAGAUCCUGCCCAGGGUGGAGGACGGGGUGAGAAGGGGGAUUUGCGGCGGAGUGCGGUGGCUGCAGGUUCUCGGCGGCGGCAGGUCCUCCAGCUUGACCACACGUUCCUGCUGCUCGCUGCCGCCGUCCAUUGGAUGGCCAUGGAGCUGGGCCCCUUUGAACUUGAACGGUGGCUCUCCUCUAGAGAGUCCACAGGUGGAGGCAGGUCGUGGGCUUCCUAUUUGCUACUGUGGCAGCUUCCACCUAUGUAAUGUGCUACAACUUUGCAUCAUUCCUACUUUCUGCACACGACUGAUUCGUCACAGUGACUAAAAGCACAGUGGCAGAAAAGAAAAAGCAGAAGAAUGAAUCACGAAGAUGGCACUGAUCCUUGGCUUUCUCAAAGGCCGGAAACGCCACCUUGGGAUGCAGCAGAGUACACUCAACUCAUUUCUUCAGGGCCAUUGCUGCCACUACUAGAGCACUACGCGGGCAUCGCAGGUUCUUAUGACCAAACCACAAUCGGGGGGCAGCAUGGCAAGUUUCGUCACAGGGCGCUAACGCUGACAAAUGUACGGGCAACCAACUUCAGCUAGCUAAUGUGGCAAAUCAAGGACCUUCAUGCAGCACGUGGCAUCAGGCGGCAACCAUGUACCUCCAUCAACGUCGUACACAGGUUGUUACGGUGGAACCACAUCGGCAAACGUCUCAUGGCAAGCUUCACAGUUGAAGGAAAGCGCUAUUGCAGAUAGAGCACAUCAAAUUGGAAUGACAGACCACACAAGAUCGGUACAUGCGGCACAACAAGGACCUUCAACUACAAUUAACAGCGGCGGGGACAUCUACUGCGGGGAGCUCUGAGCGCACGGAAGACGCGUUCCACCAGCCAGCCAACACUCAUGCCACAAACAAUGCCGAGUCAGUGUCGGAAAUGGCAAUCGUGCCAGCAAUACCGACAAGCACACCUGUGCACACCAGCACAAGCAACACUCAAGCAGAUGAAACAGCCGCCGAUACUGAAGUGAAUGAUGAAACCGAUGACGAAGCACAAGGGGAUGAAGAUGGUGGGCAAUCAGAAAUCAUGGUACCCCAGCCCCCGUAUCUUGGGCAGAGAUUUGAUUCGUUUGAAGAUGCAAAGGAAUUCUACCAGACAUGCAAAGUUCCAUGGGUUUGCGGUCAACACCGAAUACCAUAGGAAAAUAAAAAAAACUAACGAGUACAACAGAGGUGAGAUGAGGUGCUACAAGGCACGAAGAAACAAGAAGGGCAAAGGUGAUGCACCUGUCGUUCCGGAACAAAAGAGAGGUAUCAUUGUCAAGACGGAAUGCCCUCUCCGGUGUAAGCUGAACGUAGAUGGAGCACAGUGGGUGGUCACUGAAUAUUUUGACGAGCACAACCAUGAGCUAAUAAAGAAGUUUGACCUGGUAAAAUUUCUGACCGCCUACAGAGGAUUCACCCCUCUCGAGAAGAAAUUCAUAAAGCUGCUACAUGAUUGUAACACCGGUCCAUCAAGAAUGGUGCAGAUACUCUCCCUCAUCCACAACAAAAAGGGGUCUCUGAGUAGCAUGCCCUACAUACCAGCAGACGUCACAAACCUAAAGGCAAAGUACCGUAGAGAAAGCAAGUUGGCUGACAUAGAAGCCACGAUAGCCUACUUCGAUGAGAAAGCGAAAGAAGAUCAAGAUUUCUUCUACAGGAUAAGAUUGGAUGAUGAGGACCGUGUUAGGAACAUGUAUUGGGUGGAUGGUGCUGCAAGAAGAGCCUACAAACAUUUCUGAGACUGCAUUUCAUUCGACGCGACAUAUCUCACUAAUAUGUACAAGAUGCCAUGCGCUCCAUUCAUAGGAAUAAAUAACCACAAUCAGUCAUUGCAGUUCGGAUGCGGGCUCGUUCGGAACGAAGACAUGGAUGGGUACACUUGGCUGUUCAAGACCUUCUUGGAGUGCA